AAAUGUCAAGAUCACAAAUUACUGUGGGGGGCUACUUCCUAAUUUUAUGGGGGUGGGAAAACCAAAUAAAAUGACCAAGGAUCAUUCUUCAGUAUGACUGCAGGGAACCAGGAAUAAUGGUGCUGUAAAUAAAAGGAAAACCAGCUGUGCACGUAGCAUUCAUUGGCUACUGUGAGGGGAAUGAGUAAGAGGAACGGGAAGUAAUUUGUUUGUAACUUUGCGGAUCCAGUCCACCAUAAGAGAUAAAGGGCAUAAUGCUCCACUCUUCCAUCUGAUGACCCUUUUUUCAAACACCACAGAUAGAGUUAUUAUAGCUGCAAAAGUAAAAGAAAAAAAGCCAUCACAACAGAAACCCAGCAGCCUAGCUUUUGAUUAUGUGGACUCUGAAACAAGAUGACUUAGUGAAUGUAAAUUCUCCAAAAAGAGGAGAGAAAAAUCAGCUUAUCUUCUAAGACAAAAUAAAAAAGUUCAUAGUCAUCAGAGAUAAAGCUGCCUCAAUAAUUUUUGUGUUCAUGUGCAUGUGUAAUUAGGCUUUUUUUUUUUUUCAACACCCUUGCAAAGGAGCAGGAAAUAACAUACUAAAAUUUCACACAAAGAUGCACAAGGUAACUCCUUGCUGGCAUUUUGUAUCUUGAACCUUUCACAGUCAUCUUCGCGGCCAAGAAAAACAGGAUAUGUCACCAGUGGGUGUCGUUCUGACUCGGGAAAUUAUUUUUCUACCACAAGAGGAACUCAGGCGGAAAAGCCGUGCUGGAAGGGGAGAACACAAGAUGACCUGGCCACGGGGGCACUGCCUGCGCUCCGCGGUUCCCCCGCUCUGCCUUGUUUGGGGCGCGGAACGGCUGCGCUCGGAGCCAGGCCCAGCCGGCAUCUUUCAAAAUUGCAGAGCAUGCUCCACAGCUUUUAACUUUCCCUAUUGCCUCACUGCCCUGUGCCCUUCAACAGAACUUGCGCAACGUACUCGGGAAAAGCAGGGAAUUGCUGCGGGGAUCACCACACUCCUUACUACGCUGGAACAGUUUGCUCCGGAUGUAAACUGUUUUGUUGCAGUGAUUCAAAGUAAAGCCUUUUCUAUGAAGACUCCUGGAACCAUUUGCUCAUGCAACUUUUCCCUUACAGAAGGGCUGGACUACAGCACAAGACAUUUGUAUUUUUAUUCCCCAAGAUGAAAGGGUGUUUGAACAAAGUACUGCAUAAUCCAUGAUGUGGGUGAAAUACAUUAAGCCCUGUUUUAACAGCUGCCUAAACAUCAAAAAAAGGAGGAGAUAGUCAUUGUAGAGUGAUAGCAUGAGAAGUAAAAAGCUGAUUCUCCAUGAUGUCAUUCACAGUUGAAUGCAAUUCCACCCUGUAUACACGUACAUUUCUUCUUUUCAAAUAAAGGCCUCCUGCUGUACGUGAGGAAUGCUAUUCCUACUCAGGAUGUCAGCACAAGCUCCAUCAUCUUCAUCAAGACCUGAACACACGAUCUCUUUGCAGAGAAGGACAGGACUGUUCACAUGUGCAGACCUAUUACUACUUAGGUGUUUUGUAAAUGAGGUGUUGGCCAUUGUGCCUGAUCUGCGUCAGCAUGAAACAUCACAAAGUGCAAGACUGCCUCCCAAGAUGUGCAGACUGGUCAAGGUGAUGCAAGGUUUGACUUUCACAAAAGGUAAAUAAAGACUUCACUGAAACUCUGA